rnacentral:rRNA from 1 species
AGAGUUUGAUCAUGGCUCAGGACGAACGCUGGCGGCGUGCUUAACACAUGCAAGUCGAACGAGACGAUUGAAAGCUUGCUUUUGAAAGUCGAGUGGCAAACGGGUGAGUAACGCGUAGACAGCCUGCCGUAAAGAUGGGGACAACAGUCCGAAAGGACUGCUAAUACCGAAUGUUGUGGAACUUCCGCAUGGGAGCUCUACUAAAGAUGGCCUCUACUUGUAAGCUAUCGCUUUACGAUGGGUCUGCGUCUGAUUAGCUAGUUGGUGGGGUAACGGCUUACCAAGGCGACGAUCAGUAGCCGGUCUGAGAGGAUGAACGGCCACAUUGGAACUGAGACACGGUCCAGACUCCUACGGGAGGCAGCAGUGGGGAAUCUUCCGCAAUGGGCGCAAGCCUGACGGAGCAACGCCGCGUGAGUGAAGAAGGGUUUCGACUCGUAAAGCUCUGUUGUCGGGGACGAACGUGGAGAUGGUGAAUAACCAUUUCCAAUGACGGUACCUGACGAGGAAGCCACGGCUAACUACGUGCCAGCAGCCGCGGUAAUACGUAGGUGGCGAGCGUUGUCCGGAAUUAUUGGGCGUAAAGGGAGCGCAGGCGGGAGGUCAAGUCUAUCUUAAAAGUGCGGGGCUCAACCCCGUGAGGGGAUGGAAACUGGUCUUCUUGAGUGCAGGAGAGGAAAGCGGAAUUCCUAGUGUAGCGGUGAAAUGCGUAGAUAUUAGGAGGAACACCAGUGGCGAAGGCGGCUUUCUGGACUGUAACUGACGCUGAGGCUCGAAAGCGUGGGGAGCGAACAGGAUUAGAUACCCUGGUAGUCC